AUUGAACGCUGGCGGCAGGCCUAACACAUGCAAGUCGAACGGAGCGGCGGACGGGGGAGUAAUGACUAGGAAUCUGCCUGGUAGUGGGGGAGAACGUCCGGAAACGGGCGCUACUACCGCCUACUACCAGAUGAGCCUAGGUCGGAUUAGCUAGUUGGUGGGGUAAAGGCCUACCAAGGCGACGAUCCGUAACUGGUCUGAGAGGAUGAUCAGUCACACUGGAACUGAGACACGGUCCAGACUCCUACGGGAGGCAGCAGUGGGGAAUAUUGGACAAUGGGCGAAAGCCUGAUCCAGCCAUGCCGCGUGUGUGAAGAAGGUCUUCGGAUUGUAAAGCACUUUAAGUUGGGAGGCGUUACCAACAGAAUAAGCACCGGCUAACUUCGUGCCAGCAGCCGCGGUAAUUC
rnacentral:rRNA from 1 species